rnacentral:rRNA from 1 species
GAUGAACGCUAGCGGCAGGCCUAACACAUGCAAGUCGAGGGAGAAGCCCUUUCGGGGGCAGAAACCGGCGCACGGGUGCGUAACGCGUAUGCAACCUACCUUUCACAGGGGGAUAGCCCGAAGAAAUUUGGAUUAAUACCCCAUAAUAUUAUUGGAUGGCAUCAUUUGAUAAUUAAAACUGCGGUGGUGAAAGAUGGGCAUGCGUCCUAUUAGCUAGUUGGAGUGGUAACGGCACCCCAAGGCUACGAUAGGUAGGGGUCCUGAGAGGGAGAUCCCCCACACUGGUACUGAGACAGGGACCAGACUCCUACGGGAGGCAGCAGUGAGGAAUAUUGGUCAAUGGUCGGAAGACUGAACCAACCAUGCCGCGUGCAGGAAGAAUGCCUUAUGGGUUGUAAACUGCUUUUAUAUGGGAAGAAUAAGGCGUACGUGUACGUUGAUGACGGUACCAUAUGAAUAAGCAUCGGCUAACUCCGUG